rnacentral:rRNA from 1 species
GUAGGGCGCGAGCGUUAAUCGGAAUUACUGGGCGUAAAGCGUGCGCAGGCGGUUCGUUAAGUCAGAUGUGAAAGCCCCGGGCUCAACCUGGGAACUGCAUUUGAAACUGGCGGGCUUGAGUGUGGCAGAGGGGGGUGGAAUUCCGCGUGUAGCAGUGAAAUGCGUAGAGAUGCGGAGGAACACCGAUGGCGAAGGCAGCCCCCUGGGCCAACACUGACGCUCAGGCACGAAAGCGUGGGGAGCAAACAGGAUUAGAUACCCUGGUAGUCCACGCCCUAAACGAUGCUCACUAGGUGUUGGGGAAGCGAUUCCUUGGUACCGUAGCUAACGCGUGAAGUGAGCCGCCUGGGGAGUACGGCCGCAAGGUUA